UUUACCAUAUUUAUACAGUUGAAUACACCAGUUCUCGUCCAAUCACUGAAGUUAAGCGACUUCGGGCGUGGUCAGUACUCGGAUGUGUGACUACCUGGGAGAUCACGUUUUGUUGGUU
rnacentral:rRNA from 1 species